AACGAACGCUGGCGGCAUGCCUAACACAUGCAAGUCGAACGAGACCUUCGGGUCUAGUGGCGCACGGGUGCGUAACGCGUGGGAACCUGCCCUUAGGUUCGGAAUAACUCCCCGAAAGGGGUGCUAAUACCGGAUAAUGUCUUCGGACCAAAGAUUUAUCGCCUUUGGAUGGGCCCGCGUUGGAUUAGCUAGUUGGUAGGGUAAAAGCCUACCAAGGCGACGAUCCAUAGCUGGUCUGAGAGGAUGAUCAGCCACACUGGGACUGAGACACGGCCCAGACUCCUACGGAAGGGAGCAGUGGGGAAUAUUGGACAAGGGGCGAAAGCCUGAUCCAGCAAUGCCGCGUGAGUGAUGAAGGCCUUAGGGUUGUAAAGCUCUUUUACCCGGGAUGAUAAUGACAGUACCGGGAGAAUAAGCUCCGGCUAACUCCGUG
rnacentral:rRNA from 1 species